AAUGGAUUGUGGAUUAGAGCGGCUCUUCCUUCUGAUAGAGCAGCGAGAUUCAUUAGAGAUGCUCUGAAUCUGGGACAUCGAGGUCACCAGAGAUAAGAGGCACCAAUGAGAAUUUUCAGAAGGGAUCCUUGAGGUAAUCAUUGCUUGUGUAUAAAGUCAACAGAUUUAUAACUGAAAUCAGAAAUUCAGCUCAGUGCCUGCCACAUAGUAAGCACUUAAUAUACUGUUUGAUAACGACCCAAAAUUCCAAAGGGGGAAAAAAAUACUUCUCAGUAUUGUCACCAAAUGGCAUACUCGAUUUUUAUUAAGUAAAUGGCAAUAAGAACCUCCCAGAACAAGACAACUUACUCAGGAUCCUCUUUCCCAUCACAGAAUGAAGAAAUGAAAGAGUAAAUUAUUAGAGGAAAACUAUGAAAGAUGCAUUAUAUAUAAGAGAAAUGACUCCAGUUUUAUUCGAGCAUCCCUAAAUCCCUAGUUGGACAUAAAAAGAACUAGGUUGGAGUUGUCAUUCUGUACCACCACCUAUGUGACCUUGGCUAAAAUGCAUCUGUGCACACGGCCCCAGAGAACAACUAGGAACAAUGAAUGGGUGUAAAUGGCAAAGAAGGGAUUUUACACUUGGGUUAAGGACAAAUUUGUUAGCAAUUUAAAGGUAACAGAGAUGGGAAAUGGAUAUGCGAUUUCAAUGGUAAUAAUAAUAACAACUCAGAAGUGAGGAAUUUGCCUUUACACAUGGAAGUGGGCACAAUUUUAGGCAUUCAAGAAUCAAAGGAACUGCUAAUUUAGGACUAGAACAACCACUCCCUGGAGACAAUGUAAAGGGGAUUCAGGAUCAGCUACAAGUUGGAGUAGAUAGGUUUUAGAUGUCUCUCUCAAUGCUGAGAUUCUGCAUCCAUUUCCUCAUCUGUAGCUGGACCAAAUUAUUCCUUAAAGGUGUUUUUGUGUUAAAAAAAAAAAAAAAAAAAAAAAAAAAAAA